GGGGCUAUAAUUUAAAUUGGCAAAAUAUAUCGUUCGCAACGAUAUUAUGCGGGUUCAAGUCCCGCUAGCUCCA
rnacentral:tRNA from 1 species